UCUCUAUCUCUAUCGUUCUCGCUCUUUCUCUUUCACUGUCUGUUCUUCUUCUUGAACAAAAGCACACCCUCUCUGUCACAACCGACGCUCCUCUUCCUCCUCCUUUGUUACGCUCCUCUUCAUCCACCGUUCGAUUUCAAUUCUCUUCAUCGACAUCGCAAGGUAAGAUUCCCUAACAACCCUUUUUUAUUUCAAUAUUGUUUUGUGGCUUUGAUCAUAUAUCCAGAAGAGUUGGGGCUUUGGUUUUGAUUUUGAUUUUUCUAAACCUUGAUCAUAUAUCUAGAGUACUCAUUUUGAUUAACCUUUGAUCAUAUAUCCAGAGUAACAUAGUACUCAUUUUGAUUUUGAUUUUUGUUUUUCUAAACCUUAACCUGGAUAUCAUUUUUGGGUAUUUGGAUUGCUCUAAAACAAUUCUCCGAAAAACACUAUUUCGAUUUCCAAGCUCUCUGUAUACAUCGCUUCGCAUUGAUCUGUGAGUGUUUUUGUUUUUUUAUUUUUUGAUAGUAACUUCAAUUCCAUUGUGGGUUUCGAUUAGUUUGUAAUUGUGUUUAUGUAUAGUUGAUGUGUUUCAAAUUAUGUUGAUUUGUUUGUACCCAAUUGUGUUUGUUAUUGCCAGAAAAAAUAGAAUUUUUAUUGGGUUUUGAGUUUUAAGACUUAAUAGAAGUAGUUUUGUUGGUGGGUUGCUGUCAUUGGAUUUGUAUAUAUAUCUAUAUAAACCUUUGAUCAUAAGAGGAAUUAUAUACAUUGGAGUGCUUCUACGUUUGGAGGUGAUUUGGUGAGCUAGGUUUGAAUUUGGAGGUGAAUUCAGGAUUGGUAAGAGAAAUUAUAUACAUUUGGGUGUGUUGUUUGUUAGUGGAAUUGAGAUCUAUAAUGGUUAUAAUAAAUCAGUUUGUUCCAUUUGAUUGCUAAUCUUUUUAGUCAGGUUGAGUUAUUGAUUCUUCAAAGGAACAAUGCCUUAGCCUUAGGUGCUAAAAUACAUGUGUAUGCAUUAUAUUCUUUCAGAUAUUACGAUUGGCCUUAAAAAUUUAAUGGACAAAGCUUGCAUAGUUUUCAUUUGCCUACUUUCGUGGGCAAAACACACAUGCACAUGCAUGUAUGCAUUACAUAUAUAUCUCAUUGGAUAUGUGACAGAAAAGCUCAUUUGUGCUCAUAUUAUCAUAUAUGAGAAAAGUAUUGUGAGUUUUGCAAUUCUUAACUUAAACCUAUUGAUAGAUAAGCUUAUUUAGCUACUCUGGUUUGGCUUCUCUCCAUUUGUGGCAAGAAAUGGAGAUCUCAAUUUCAAUGUAACAGGUUGUAACAUAUCAUCAGAACCCAAAAUUAUAAGUCCAAGUACAACCACUUUUUGAUGGAUCCCACCACAGAACAAACAACCCAAACUUUUUCUUGGCCUUCUUUCUCAAUGGAACACAAAACAUCUAAUUUGGCUUUUCGAUUUCAAUAUUGUUUUGUGGCUUUGAUCAUAUAUCCAGAAGAGUUUUUUCUAAACCUUGAUCACAUAUCCAGAGUAACAGAGAUGAAAACAAUUUUGUUCAAUGAUAGAAUAGAUGUGUGUGCGUUAUAUUUUCUUAAUUUUCUUUACAUGGUAUGUAGAUGAUGAAAACAUAUAAUUAGCUCAUAUAAAAAAAUUAUGAGUUAAGCUCAUCAUCUAAUUUUGUAGUCUGGUUUGUGAAAUUCAUUACGUGUCUCACUUUAAUGACGCGAGUCUUCCAUUUUGUAGGAUUUUUUUGGAUAUAUUAUCUAUUGAAAAAAUAAUAAUUUAUAUAAAAAUUGUAAUUAUAUGAUUUUUAUCAUAUUUGAUUUUAAAAAAAUAAAUGAUAAGCAUAAUUUUAUAAUAGACUGUUCAUUUCUUAACGAUAAACAUGAUGAAAUUAAUUAACUUGUUUCAUCAAAUUCAAACCAGUGGUAAACCCUACGAAUCAAAUUACGCCUUUCCAGUUAAUACCAAGACUGAAGUGAGCUGCUAUGGGUGUAAUUUCGUGUUGUUACCUUGAAAGAACAUCUCAAAUAAUUGAUUAUUAUGCAUAUACAAUUAUGUCAUAUUUUAUCAAAUUGAAACCAGUGGUAAACCCUACAAAUCAAAUUACACCUUUCCAGUUAAUACCAUGAAUGAAGUGAGCUGCUAUGGGUGUAAUUUUGUGUUGUUACCUUGAAAGAACAUCUCAAAUAAUUGGUUGUUAUGUACAUACAAUUAUAUCAUAUGGCUUGCUUGCAUAAUGUUUAAAGGGCCACCACUUUCGUAGGCCCAAAUUGAGAGCUUAACUCAGAAAUUUUUAUAUUUUUAUCAUUGAACAAAAUUGUUUUCAUCAUCUAAAACAAAAUUAUUUUGUUUUCAUAAUUUAUGUAUGCUCGACAGAUUUGAUUCAAUAUCUACAGAUUUUAUUUCCAUACAAUGUAUGUAUGGUCGACAAAAUUAUUUAGUAUAGAGCAUAAAUUUUUUUUCUUAAUAGUCUCUACCAUUUCUACAUCCAAAAACUACUCUCUUUUUUUGCUUCUCUAGAAAAUAAAAAAUUAGAUGAUGAGCUUAUCUGAGAUUCUACUGCUCUCUCUCUCUCUUACCCAAUUCAAAAACAACCUCUCCAGAGCAGAAUGAUUAUGUAGUUUUCUCUGUUUGGUAUUUUUUUACCUUUUUUUUUUUUUUCUCCUAUUCAAUUUUUUUUUGUUUGGCCUAGGUGUGGAGUUAAUAAUUAUAUGUUGUGAUCCGAGAGGAUAUGUUAAUUAGGUGUUGUUUGAGUAGUAAAAAUGUAAUAACCCGACCCUCGUACAUGUUUUUUUGAUAUAUUUUCAGACCCUAUUUUGUGUUUUUGAAUGUUUAUUGUGAAAUUUUAUGAGACAUUAAGAUUAAGUAAGUGAACUCCAUGUUUAAGGGUGUCUAUCUGUUUAAACAAGAAAAGCAUCUGUUACAUUAGAAUGCUUGAAUCAGAAAUUGGAAGCCUUAGGGGCUUAAUUAUCUGAAAUUGAUUUUAUAUAUGUAAUCAGCAUAAUUUUUAGGUAAUAUUAAGCAUUUUUUGGAAAUUUCAAUUUCGGAUGUUUAAACGAUUGAUUUUCGUCUUUAUUCACUCUUUAUAUAUGUAUGUCUAUGAGCUUCUCUUGAGCUCAAGACUUAGGAACCUUCUCAUAAAACAUUCUCUGGGAGAAAAAUGAAGAAAGGAUAAGAACAAGGAAGAAUUUAGAGGGAUUGAAGCUAAGGACACACUCCAGGAGGAAGUAACGCAUCAUCUCAACACUGUAACCAACCAGGUGGUCAGUCCUAACCCAUGACGCCCGGUUUCUUUUGUCAACCUUCGUGUAUCCAGGCACUAUACGAGGCCACUUAUUUUGUGAAGUUUAUUAAGAUAAUGGGCUUACUUUUUGACUAGCCUUCCAAGGUUAAAUGUAUAUAACUUCAAUAGUUUUGUACAUGCCCGAUUAUAGGGCUGGGUCUGUAUAUGUGUUUGUGUAUAAGUACUGCUAAGGAAUAUUUUUGGACUUUAUCUGCCUACUAUAGUGUAUGUGAUGUAUGAGAUCCUGGCAUAUUAGAAAUAGCUCAAUGGAGGUUGUUUGGUUCAGUAUUCUUUUAAUAUUUUGUGCUUCCGAUAA